AGUUUGAUUGACCUAUUAAAGAGAAUAGGUAUAAUGAGUCUGACCUAGAGUCGAGGAAGAAAGAGUGAGAACCUUGAUGAAAAGAGUCGGUCCGAGAGAUGUCUAGUUUGUUUGCUUUGCCGACUGCUUUGAUGUGACAUUAUGUGAAAUUACGUGACUAAUCGAUUAUGUGAUUUUCGUGAUGUGUGUCACUGUGACCGAGUUAUUAUGAUUUUUAUUCGAGACCUUAGCAUUUGGAAUUUUGAUUGAGUUUCCAAAGCAAGUAUGGGUUAUUUUUAUCGAGAAAUCGAAUGAUGCCGGUUUAUGAAAAUUUUUCCGGGCAUAAUAUUUUUAAAUUAUUUUUCCUACGAAGAGGAAUAUUAUAGUUGAGUGAGUGCACUAAUAAUAGUGCUAUGAUCAUUAUUUUGGUCACAUGAAUAAUUAUACUAUGGUAUUUUAUUAAUGAGUGACUUUACCAUAGUUUUGUGAUUUUUAUUUAAUCACCCUUCUCACACUUUAUUUUAAUCUCCCAUACCAUAUGUUAUAUGUCUCAAUUUUGCUAAGUAUGGAAUUGAGAGAGUAGAGAUUGAGAGUAUGAGAUGAGAGAGUGUAGAGAUUAGAGAGAGAUUAGAGAGAGAAAGAUCAUUCAUUAAUUAGCAAAUAUUUCAUAAGAUUUGCAAAUCUCCUUUAAAGAUUGCAAGAUCAUUCUCAAUCUUGCAAAGCCAAAUCCCUCUCUCCCUCACUACAAUUUUCGCCCAACACACACAUACACUCAUCUUCUUCACCUCACACUUCCACCAUUUUCCACCAUUAGAGCAAACCUUCGAAGCUUCCAAUAAUACUACCAAACACCUCACAUCACUCUAAAACUUUCCAUAAACACUAUCUAUCCUCAUUUGAUCAAGAGAUUCCUUGAAGAAGAGCCUCAAAAUUUAGAGUGAGAAAGUGUAAACUUUGGUAAGAACUUGGGCCCGAGCGAGACGAAGAAGUAAGUUGCCUGAUUUCUUUCCAGAAUAAGCAAAGGACUUCAGGCUAAGCUGGGAGUGAGAUUGGACUGGUGCUGAUGGGGGAGAGUUUCAAAUGAUGUAAAUUAAAUUACUAUUUUGCCUCUAUGAUAAUAGAGUCUUGAUGUUUGAAUUACUUAGUUUCUUUUGAGAUCAAGCAAUACACUCACGGUUAUGUGUCUUCAUACAUAUAAUCGGUUCGCCUUUUGCUGCGAUACUCUGCAAAUUAUGCUUCCUUAUGAAAAAUGAACUAUACGCGUUUUGUUUUUGUUCGUGAAAUUCCUAAUAAUUAAAAAGUUAUGACAAUGUUGACGAUUUUA